GUGCCAGCAGCCGCGGUAAGACGAACCGUGCGAACGUUGUUCGGAUUCACUGGGCUUAAAGGGCGCGUAGGCGGAUCGGCAAGUCUGGGGUGAAAGCCCCCGGCUCAACCGGGGAAUUGCCUGGGAUACUGCCGAUCUUGAGCGAGGUAGGGGCAGCUGGAACUUCCGGUGGAGCGGUGAAAUGUGUUGAUAUCGGAAGGAACUCCGGUGGCGAAAGCGAGCUGCUGGACCUCUUCUGACGCUGAGGCGCGAAAGCCAGGAGAGCAAACGGGAUUAGAAACCCUCGUAGUCC
rnacentral:rRNA from 1 species